AUGAAGACAUCCACUGGAGCUUCCUUCAUGUUCUUGUGGCUGCAGCUGGACUGGGUCAGCCGAGGAGAGAAAGUGGAGCAGAGUCCUUCUACCCUGAGUGUCCAGGAGGGAAACCCCGCUGUUAUCACCUGUUCUUAUUCAGACAGUGCCUCAGACUACUUUCCUUGGUACAAGACAGAACCUGGAAAAGGCCCCCAGCUCAUUAUAGACAUUUUUUCAAAUAAGGACAGAAAAGAAGAUGGAAGACUCACUGUGUUACUGAAUAAAGAGGCCAAGCAUCUCUCCCUGCAAAUCGCGGCCACCCAGCCUGGAGACGCAGUUGUGUACUUCUGUGCAGCGAGUGCACAUUGCUCCCCAGGCACCUGCACCCUGUACACAAACCUGCAAGCGGGCAGCCCCCUCUGCUUGGGACAGACCUUCAAGCAUAGCAUUUGUCAUAUUGCCUGUCUCCAAGGGGAAACUAAUGUGUUGUAUGUUAAAAACACAUAG